ensembl:lncRNA
GAUAGAGGCAGUGAAUCCAUGACAAAGCAAGUAUCAGUCUUCAUGUGGUCAGACUGCUUGGAAAGCUGUGGUGUAGCAAAGAAGAAGUGGCCCCCUGGGGAGAGGUUGAAGGCUGUGUCCUGUGAGAAGCAGCUGAAGGAACUGGGAGUGUCCACCCCCUAAAGCUCAAGGAACAGGACUGCACCCUCCAAAUCUCCAAAGGGCAAAAGCAGACAUAGUCUGAGGGGUCCUAGAAGAUGGAGCCAGACCUGUGAGGCAUUUGAACUGAAGAUGGAAGACCCAGUCAAGACCCCGAGAGAGUUGCGGGGAAUGGAAGUUUAAAAAUAAAGCACCCCCUCUCCUGCCUCUCCUGUGAAGAACUAAAGAGCCUCUUGAUGAAAGUGAAAGAUGAGAGUGAAAAAGUUGGCUUAAAGCUCAACGUUCAGAAAACUAAGAUCAUGGCAUCCAGUCCGGUCACUUCAUGGCAAAUAGAUGGGGAAACAAUAGAAACAGUGAGAGACUAUUUUCUUGGGCUAUAAAAUUAAAAGAUGCUUGCUUCUUGGAAGAAAAGUUAUGACCAACCUAGACAGUAUAUUAAAAAGCAGAGACAUUACUUUGCCAACAAAGGUCUGUCUAGUCAAGGCUAUGGUUUUUCCAGUAGUCAUGUAUGGAUGUGAGAGUUGAACUAUGAAGAAAGCUGAGUGCUGAAGAAUUGAUGCUUUUGAAUUGUGUUGGAGAAGACUCUUGAGAGUCCCUUGGACUGCAAGGAGAUCCAACCGGUCCAUCCUAAAGGAAAUCAGUUCUGAAUAUUCAUUGGAGGGACUGAUGUUGAGGCUGAAGCUUCAAUACUUUGGCCACCUGAUGUGAAGUACUGAUGCUGGAAACGGUUGAAGGCGGGAGGAGAAGGGUUCGACAGAGGAUGAGGUGAUUGGGUGCAUCACCGACUCAACGGACAUGAGUAUGAGUAAACUCCGGGAGUUGGUGAUGGACAGGAAGGCCUGGCGUGCUGCAGUCCAUGGGGUCACAAAGAGUCACACGUGACUGAGUGACUGAAGUGAACUGAACUGAACUGAGCUCUCCUGCCUUCACCAACAAUAUUUUUGAGUCAGAACUACCCAUCAUAGCAUUCUGCAAAUAAGAGAGAUCUUGUUACACCUUGUUAACUAUAAAUGCCUUCUUUUCUGUGUGUCUAACAAGCCACCCAGUGAUGCCAAUGCUGCUAGUGCCAAGCCCAUGCUCUGUGUAGUGAGAGUGGAGAAUGAGGUCUGAAAGAUUAGUAGAGCCCCACUGAAUGAAGAGGCAAGUUCAAGUUGCAGGUAAUAGGGAUAGGCAUGUGCUCACUCCUGGAGGUGAGAGGGGUCAGAGUGUAUUCAAAGAACUGGAAGAAGACAAGUGGGACAGAAGCAAGAAGCGCAAAGGGAUGGAUGGUUCUGGAAGAGGCUGGAGGCAUGGACAGGGACCAGACCACAUAGAAUUUUGGAGGCCUGGGUAAGAACCCUGACUCCUGGGCCAGAUUCAUUGGAUAAAUCUAACACGUUCCCACCUGGAGGAGCUGAGAAGACAGCAGAGAGACUGACCUAAACAAAAUGAACCCAAUAAAUUGUCAUAUACCUCUA